CCUACGUGUGGCAGCAGUGGGGGAUAUUGCACAAUGGGCGCAACCCUGAUGCAGCGACGCCGCGUGGGUGAAGGAGCGUUUCGGCUCGUAAAGCCCUAUCGGCAGGGAAGAAGGAGGACGGUACCUGACUAAGAAGCCCCGGCGAACUACGUUCCAGCAGGCGCGGUAAUUCGUAGGGGGCAAGCGUUAUACGGAUUUACGGGGUGUAAAGGGGGCGCAGACGGCGGGGCAAGCCAGGAGUGAAAGCCCGGGGCCCAACCCCGGGACUGCUCUUGGAACUGCGCGGCUGGAGUGCAGGAGGGGCAGGCGGAAUUCCUGGUGUAGCGGUGAAAUGCGUAGAUAUUAGGAGGAACACCAGUGGCGAAGGCGGCCUGCUGGACUGCAACUGACGGUGAGGCCCGAAAGCGUGGGGAGCAAACAGGAUUAGAUACCCGUGUAGUC
rnacentral:rRNA from 1 species